rnacentral:rRNA from 1 species
AUACGGAGGGGGCUAGCGUUGUUCGGAAUUACUGGGCGUAAAGCGCGCGUAGGCGGAUUGGUAAGUCGGAUGUGAAGGCCCCGGGCUUAACCUGGGAAUGGCAUUCGAUACUGCCAGACUAGAGUAUGGUAGAGGGAAGUGGAAUUCCUGGUGUAGGGGUGAAAUCCGUAGAUAUCAGGAGGAACAUCAGAAGCGAAGGCGGCUUCCUGGCUCGUAUCUGACGCUGAGACGCGAAAGCGUGGGUAGCAAACAGGAUUAGAUACCCCGGUAGUCC